ACGGGUGAGUAACACGUAGGAAUCUACCCUAAAGUGGGGGGUAACUCGAGGAAACUCGAGCUAAUACCGCAUAAUAUCUUCGGAUUAAAGCUAGGGCAACCUGGCGCUUUAGGAGGAGCCUGCGUCUGAUUAGCUAGUUGGUGGGGUAAAGGCCUACCAAGGCGACGAUCAGUAGGUGGUCUGAGAGGAUGAUCACCCACACUGGGACUGAGACACGGCCCAGACUCCUACGGGAGGCAGCAGUGGGGAAUAUUGGACAAUGGGGGCAACCCUGAUCCAGCAAUGCCGCGUGUGUGAAGAAGGCCUUCGGGUUGUAAAGCACUUUAGGCGGGGAAGAAGAUUAGUAGUUUAAGAGAUAGCUAAUUUGACGGUACCCGCAGAAUAAGCACCGGCUAACUCUGUGCCAGCAGCCGCGGUAAUACAGAGGGUGCAAGCGUUAAUCGGAUUUACUGGGCGUAAAGGGCGCGUAGGUGGUUAUGUAAGUGAGAUGUGAAAUCCCCGGGCUUAACCUGGGAACUGCGUCUUAUACUGCAUAGCUUGAGUACAUGAGAGGGUAGUGGAAUUUCCGGUGUAGC
rnacentral:rRNA from 1 species